rnacentral:rRNA from 1 species
UUCGUAGGUGGUGCGGCAAGUUGGGAGUGAAAUCUCUGGGCUUAACUCAGAGGCUGCUUUCAAAACUGCCGUGCUCGAGUGCGGGAGAGGCCAGUGGAAUUGCAGGUGUAGCGGUGAAAUGCGUAGAUAUCUGCAGGAACACCCGUGGCGAAGGCGGCUGACUGGACCGCAACUGACACUGAGGAACGAAAGCUAGGGGAGCAAACA